UACGGGGGGGGGCAAGCGUUGUUCGGUGUCACUGGGCUUAAAGGGCGCGUAGGUGGUUGCGUAAGUAACGUGUGAAAUCCCUCGGCUUACCCGGGGAAUUGCGCGUUAUACUGCGUGACUUGAGGAUCUCAGGGGAAGGGGGAACUCCAGGUGUAGCGGUGAAAUGCGCAGAUAUCUGGGGGAAGGCCGGCGGCGAAGGCGCCUUCUGGGAGAUUCCUGACACUGAGGCGCGAAAGCGUGGGGAGCAAACAGGG
rnacentral:rRNA from 1 species